rfam:Heterocephalus glaber contig189239, whole genome shotgun sequence.
GGGUGUGAGGUGAUCUGGCUGCGACAUCUGUCACUCUAUUGAUUGCCAGGGUUGAUUCUGCUGAUCUGGCUAGGUAGGUGGGUGUGCCCUUCCUCCUUCAGUGCUCCAUGUGUGUCCCUCCGAGGCUGCACACCAGGUUGAAGAGGACAAACUUCCCUGACAGGAGGACCGUUUCUUUGGUAAAGGGUAUAUGAGUAGCUGAGCUACCCUCCUAGAACCACCAAACAAGCUCUCAAGAAUCUGCUUCUAUCUUGACCUGUACCAUCUUCCUUGAGCAGUCUAUUGCAACAUUACCCUACCCAGACCACUUUACUCCCAUGGUUAGCUCACAUG